rnacentral:rRNA from 1 species
GACAGAGGGUGCAAACGUUGUUCGGAGUUACUGGGCGUAAAGAGUGCGUAGGCGGUUUUCUAAGUUUGGUGUGAAAUCUCCCGGCUCAACUGGGAGGGUGCGCCGAAGACUGGAAGGCUUGAGUAUGGGAGAGGUAAGCGGAAUUCCUGGUGUAGCGGUGAAAUGCGUAGAUAUCAGGAGGAACACCUGCGGUGUAGACGGCUUACUGGACCAUAACUGACGCUGAGGCACGAAAGCGUGGGUAGCAAACAGG